AUCCCUACAAUCACGCAAAGGGUAGAGAAAAAGGGAAGUGAUCUCAAUCGGAGCCCCUCGCUCGCUAACUGCCCCGCGAGUUCGCGACCCACGCCACCUGCCUCUGGCCACCGGACGAGGGUUGGACACCCACGGCACAUGCGCCACCGCCUGACCCUCCUCCGCCACCACAGCUGCCGCAGAACCGACGAGUGCGCCGGCAGCACCUCCCACGCCCUCCUAUCAUCUUCCCUAUCCCUACCCAGCGGACAACCAGAGGAGGUGUAGCUGACGUCUCCCUCCUUCACCUACACCGACGAUGAGCUGAGACGGCGCCCUCUCGCCAGGCAUGCCCUUGAUCUAGACGGCACAGCCGAGCCCGUGGCCCUCCUCACCAGGUCACUGGAUCCAGCCAAGAUCCGUCCCGUCCUCCCACAUCGGCCACCAUGGUCGUCCUCCUCUGCACCCAAGCUUUGUCCAUAAGCUCCAUGUGCAUUCGCAGGUUUGAGCCUGCGAUCUGGAUCGACCAAGUCACAGGAGCUUGCCGGCAACUCCCAGUCUUUGAUCUGGUUUGCUGUUCAUCUUAGGUGAUUUUUUCUCUAGAAAACAUUUUUUUCUUGCGUAUCAUCUUAGGUGAUUUGGAUGGCCCCGUCUCUCACGAAUACAACAAGCCGCUCGCGCUAGGCGGAGCGGACAGAGCCAACGACGUGGGUGGCGGUGGCGGCAGCGGGACCGGGGAAGAGAGACGCAUCUGGCGGCCUGGAGCGUGCUGAUGGCCGCGGCGGGGAUGGCCCAUGCCCGCCGAUCUGCUCCUCAACUACGACCUGCCCCCUCAGUCAAACUCUAGGGCCUUUUUUCCCGAACAGAUUGGAGAUCAAUAAGAAGGGCGGCGACCGUAACUACGACCUGCGGCAGAGGAGAAACUGACCACGAGCAACGAAGGCCUGACGGCGCUGCUCGUGCGGGACUCAGCGGUGCUCUCGGUGCACCGCCGAUGGGUGAUGGUGCUCGAGCCUGAAAACUCCAUGCUCAGAGCCACCGGCGGCGGCAGCUGAGUAACGGAACUGGUGCGGUCAAGAUAGCAGAGAGGAACACUGCUGGCGAGAGGAUUCUUAUGACUACCAGCAGAUCAAGCCUUCCCAUGAGUUUGUUGCCAAGGAUUUGCAUGGAGCGAAGUGGAGGUUCCGCCAUUUUAAGAGAGGCAGAGAAAAUUAUGCUGAGAAGGAGGUUAUUUUCUAGGCUUUUAAACUAACACAAAAAUAAGACAGGUUCUGCAUCAAGGAUAGGAAUUAUAAUAUGUAAUGGUCAGUAAAAAGUACGCACAUAAAAUACUUUUCUUUUUCAGUUGGCAACAUUGCAUACAGAAUUUGAAUCUUAAUUAUUGGAAUUCAACUAUACCAAAUAAGAUUGUUCCUGAAGAGCUUGAAUAAUCCAUUUUGUAUGGGACUUGUCAAUCCAACUAUACCAAAUAAGAUUGUUUCCGGAGCCUGACAGCUAAAAUGCAUUGUUUUUUUAGAUCUUCACUUUCGGGUAAGCAUGGCAUGGUGAUUAAAAUGUUUCUUAGAAAAUGAACUGAUAAUGAGAAGUUAUGUUCUAAUUAAGAUGGAUUAAGGGUUGUGCCUUUUUAAUUAUUCAGCCUAAAUAUAUAGCAGGCUGGUUCAGUGAUCAUCAGUGAACGAAAAUUAUCUCUUUUGUUCAGGUAAGAUGGGAGGAUGGCACAGACUGUAAUAGCAAAUUAGACUUAUCUCCACGGGAGAUCUGAGAUUGUUGGUGGUUCAAUCUCUAUUGCUUAGUGUCUGGCACUAUCAAUGACCUGCAGACACAAACAGUGUUGUAAUCUUUCCUUUAUUACUCCAGGACCACCCAAGUUAAUGCUUCUACAUCUAAUGUAGAUUAUCUAUGUGUGAACCCUGUCUCUGGCAGCAUCAAUGACUUGCAGACACAAACAUAAUGUUUCUAUGUGUAAAAUUAAACCAAUUGUGAUCAGUAUAGAUUGGUGAAUUGUUCCUUAACCUGCAUGGUUAUAAUUGACGUUCUUCUACGUGUUAUUAUCAUGUACGUAUGACAUGAGCUUGUUCUUAUAAACCAUAUAUUAUUCGAUGCCUUUUUCCCUGUUUGUUUUUGGGAAAAUUUGUGGUUCAUCAUGUAAGAACCAUGAACAAUCAUAUUAGGAUUAUCCUUGCGGUAGUGUAUGGCCCUUAAUCAAUUAUACUGCUGAUAAAAGUUUACUGUUUGGGACUCAUUUCGUAUGUUCCUAUUUUCCAUUUUUCUACCUUUGUUCCAAGUUUGUUAAUUCUAUCACAAGUCCUGGGAAGUUUACAUUAUAAAAUAGACGAGCUCUUUUACGGUGAUUGGGGAGUUACAUCUUGUAAUUUGAUGUAACUCCUCCCUUAAUUAUUCUCCACCGUUGAUUAUAAC